CUGGAACUCAGAGAGAACAGAGAUUCACACUGCAGGCUACACAGCUGGACCUUUACAGAAGACGUUCCUACUCUAGACUGGAAGCUCUGUUUGCACUCUUCCAUCUCAAGCACAUAGGAAGUUGCCUGGAAUUCAGUAUUAAUCCAUCUUGGAGAUGACUCAGCCAAUAGAGUGCCACAUGCAUGCAGACCUGAGUCCAGAGCCCCAAUACCCAUGCAAACAACGAGGCCUGGCAGUGCAAGUGGUAACCCCAGAGAUGCAGAUUACAGGCACAAGCUUCCUGUGCAAAACCAGCAAGACCAGCAAAACCUUGAAGCCUGUUGGCCAGUCAGCCUGACUGAACCUAUGAACUUCAGGUCCGGUGAGAGACCCUGCCUCAAAAAAUAAACAUGGAGAAUG